UACGAAGGGUGCAAGCGUUAAUCGGAAUUACUGGGCGUAAAGGGUGCGUAGGCGGUUCGUUAAGUCUGUUGUGAAAUCCCCGGGCUCAACCUGGGAAUGGCAAUGGAUACUGGCGGGCUAGAGUGUGUCAGAGGAUGGUGGAAUUCCCGGUGUAGCGGUGAAAUGCGUAGAGAUCGGGAGGAACAUCAGUGGCGAAGGCGGCCAUCUGGGACAACACUGACGCUGAAGCACGAAGGCGUGGGGAGCAAACAGG
rnacentral:rRNA from 1 species